rnacentral:rRNA from 1 species
CGGUACGGGUGAGUAACGCGUGGGUCAUCUGCCCUCGGGUGGGGAAGUAACUAAUCGAAAGGUUAGCUAAUACCGCAUAACACAGUGAUGUCAAAGCAGCAAUGUGCCUGAGGAGGAGCCUGCGUCUGAUUAGGUAGUUGGUGGGGUAAUGGCCUACCAAGCCUGCGAUCAGUAGCUGGUCUGAGAGGACGGCCAGCCACAAUGGCACUGAAACACGGGCCAU